rnacentral:tRNA from 1 species
AGAUUUAAUUUUUGAAGCUGCUAACUUUAAUUCCUAGAUUUUCUAGUUAAUCUU